GUAACACGUGAGUGGCCUGCCUUUUAGACUGGAACAACUUACCGAAAGGUGAGCUAAUGCCGGAUGAGUUAUAUAAGUGCAUGUUUAUAUAGGAAAAGUUGGGGAGACCUGACGCUGAAAGAUGGACUCGCGUCCCAUUAGCUAGUUGGUAGGGUAAUGGCCUACCAAGGCGACGAUGGGUAGCCGGCCUGAGAGGGUGGCCGGCCACACUGGGACUGAGACACGGCCCAGACUCCUACGGGAGGCAGCAGUGGGGAAUUUUGCGCAAUGCUCGUAAGAGUGACGCAGCGACGCCGCGUGAAUGACGAAGGCCUUCGGGUCGUAAAGUUCUUUCGACAGGGAAGAAAAUGCCUAUAAGUAACUGUGUAUGUAUUGACGGUACCUGUAUAAGCAGCCCCGGCUAACUCCGUGCCAGCAGCCGCGGUAAUACGGAGGGGGCGAGCGUUGUUCGGAGUGACUGGGCGUAAAGAGCACGUAGGCGGUGUUGUAAGUCAUUAGUCAAAGACUAGAGCUCAACUUUAGUAAGGCUAGUGAUACUAUAAUACUAGAGUAUCAGAGAGGAUUGCAGAAUUCCUGGUGUAGCGGUGAAAUGCGUAGAUAUCAGGAGGAAUACCGUUAGCGAAGGCGGCAAUCUGGCUGGAAACUGACGCUGAGGUGCGAAAGCGUGGGUAGCAAACAGGAUUAGAUACCCUGGUAGU
rnacentral:rRNA from 1 species